CAUCAAGCCCCACGAAAUCUACUCUUUAUUCCACGAGUUCCCUGGCUACGAAUCUUCUCAUCUCCGUAGCUCCUCCCAAAAUUCACAUGACUAAAUGCUUUUGCCACGUUUGCAGACCAGCCGUCCGCCGUUGCAGCCAUGCAUGCACUGAAUGCAAGAUCAUCUUGCCCUGAUCCUCGAUGAAUGGUCUGGUUUGGAUAAGAAGGCUGGAGGGUCCUCUGGAUUCUUGAUGGCUCUCCUGAUUCAGGUUUUGGCAGCGUUCACUUGCCCGGAAUGACUAUUUCUGCUUUCAACACGAUUGGUAUUCCCAUCUGCACAAAGGUCAUUUGCACUUCUUGAGUACAUCUUUAUGAUAGAGCUAGAAAUGAGUCAAAAGCUGCAAAACUGGUUAAAUUACCUCACUGCUUUUGUUUUUAUGCAAAUAUCAGUCCCAUGAGUUCUGCACCUUUCUUUUCUAUCCCAAGUUUUAUCUCCUCGAAAUAGAAUUGCUAUCAUGUUCUUAUUGUUUGAGAAAUUGUUCAUUUCUAUAUCUGGAUUUUUUGUAAUUCUCUUGUGGAACUAAAAUUGUUCAUUUUAGUUCAUGGGAUAAGUUGUACUUGUAAGUGUUGUAGAAUGCUGGAAUAUUUACCAUAGAGAAACAUGACAUGCAAAUGUACUUUAGAGUAGAUUGUACUCCUGUUAGAGUUCUUGCACAUCCUUUAUGUCAUUAUGGGCCCAUUUAUUGUUGGAUUGUUUUCUAAUCAAAAUAACAGGAUUUAAUCUGUACAAAAGCAUUUAGUCUCUGAUGAUGAUAAACUAAUGUUUCCUACAUUG